rnacentral:rRNA from 1 species
GACGAACGCUGGCGGCGUGCUUAACACAUGCAAGUCGAACGAUGAAGCCUAGCUUGCUAGGUGGAUUAGUGGCGAACGGGUGAGUAAUACGUGAGUAACCUACCUUUAACUCUGGGAUAAGCCCGGGAAACUGGGUCUAAUACCGGAUACGACCAAUCUCCGCAUGGGGUGUUGGUGGAAAGCGUUAUGUAGUGGUUAUAGAUGGGCUCACGGCCUAUCAGCUUGUUGGUGAGGUAACGGCUCACCAAGGCGACGACGGGUAGCCGGCCUGAGAGGGUGACCGGCCACACUGGGACUGAGACAGGGCCCAGACUCCUACGGGAGGCAGCAGUGGGGAAUAUUGCACAAUGGGCGCAAGCCUGAUGCAGCGACGCCGCGUGAGGGAUGACGGCCUUCGGGUUGUAAACCUCUGUUAGCAGGGAAGAAGAGGGAUUGACGGUACCUGCAGAGAAAGCGCCGGCUAACUACGUG